rnacentral:lncRNA from 1 species
UUGGAUUUUGGGUUUUGUGAUUUAAAACUUGUUAAGGCCUCUUGAGAGCCCAAUAAUUGUUAAUGGGCCUCUUGAGAGCCCAACUUAAAUUUUCAUUUGUCAUGUUUAGUCCCACAUUGGAAACCAAAAGAGUGUUUGUGGUUUUUAUAUAUUCAUUUGUUCUCAAGCUAGUUGCUUGGAAGAAAAUGAGAGUAAUGCUCUCGUUUAAACACAUGCACGGCACGAGCCGGGCUGGGCGAGCGGCGGCGCGCGCAACACUCGAUUUUUUUUUAUUUUUAUUUUGUCGGUUUUAUCUUUAUUUUAAUCCUUAUCUUUAUCUUUAUCCUAAUCCUAAUCUUUAUCCGUAUAAUCUUAUGCUUAUCUUGUUUUACACUGAUUUGACGCGUUGAAGCAAGAUUCUCGCAUAGAUUAUAAAUAUGGGGCAAGGUUGUACGAGUUAAUUAGUAAUAAAAAUAACCCGAGCAUACCUAAAGCCUCUCGUCCUUUUUCUACUUUCUGAAUUUUCGUCGAGUUUUAUUUUGCUGGGUCUGAAGUUGAUUGGGUUCAUCUUGCGCCACCUUGGAAGCGUGCCGACGCGAUGGAACGUGAUAGUUGUAUUGCUAGGAGUAACUGCUGGGAAGCCUCGCACGUGGAGGGGCAACUUCGCUUCUAGGACAGUGCUCUUCACGCCUCGAUCCACAGGCCUUAUCUAAACCUUAACUUUAUAAUAUUUUUGUUUAAUUUUGUUUCGGAAUUUUUCUACAGCUGAAAUUGAAUUUUUGAGUUGUUUUUAAAGAGUAUUGUAAUAAAAGAUCAGAAAGAUUUUUCCAACAAUCUAGAAGUGAAAUUAUUUUUUAAUUUAAUCUUUCUGUUUCUUUUAUUAUAAGAAUUAAAAUAUUUCUUGAUCUCUCUGAAUAAAACGUAAAAUUUCUUACUGUUAUUUUUCUAAAAUUCAAAACUGUUUUUUGACAUAACAGUAGAAUUAAUUUGUGAAUAGAUUUUUUUUUUAUUAUGGAGGAUUCGGCGAAACCGUUUACUUUUGAUAGUCAUAAUUUUAAGAGAUGGCAUAACCAAAUGAGGUUCUGGCUCACCACACUUGGGCUGGUUU